CUAUGCGCCUUGCCAGCCCGCUCAGUCAGAGUUUGAUCCUGGCUCAGGAUGAACGCUGGCGGCGUGCCUAAUACAUGCAAGUCGAACGCUUUGUGGUUCAACUGAUUUGAAGAGCUUGCUCAGAUAUGACGAUGGACAUUGCAAAGAGUGGCGAACGGGUGAGUAACACGUGGGAAACCUACCUCUUAGCAGGGGAUAACAUUUGGAAACAGAUGCUAAUACCGUAUAACAAUAGCAACCGCAUGGUUGCUACUUAAAAGAUGGUUCUGCUAUCACUAAGAGAUGGUCCCGCGGUGCAUUAGUUAGUUGGUGAGGUAAUGGCUCACCAAGACGAUGAUGCAUAGCCGAGUUGAGAGACUGAUCGGCCACAAUGGGACUGAGACACGGCCCAU
rnacentral:rRNA from 1 species